UUUUCUGAAAAUAUGUGAUUAAUUGAAGAAAAAUGUAUCGAGAAGAGAACCAGGAAGUUGGGAAAACUAAUUAAUUUCUUUAAUUUAGUUCUGCUAUAAAAAAGAAAUGGUGCACAUAUUGUAACUUUGAUUUUCCUCCACUAGAUGGCAGCAGUUACUCAUGUCCUAAAGUCAGAGUUACACACAUUGAUUGGCAUGUUGUCAGGAAGUCAUCCCAGCAUGUGAAGCUGGUGUUUGGAGGAACUGAAAUGCAACAUGAUGGAUCUGUUCCCAGUGCUGCUGGUUAUUUGUCUCCCUUUGUCAAGGUAAACACUUCCUGACCAUCUCAACAGUAUUAUAUUGAAUACGGCGUCUGCCAGAGUUGUGGAGCAGUGGGUCCCUCAUCCUGGACUGGGUCCCUCAUCCUGGACUGGGUUCCUGGACUGGGUCCCUCAUCCUGGACUGGGCCCAGGCGUGUACGUGUCCCUGGGGGCACCGGCCUGUACAACAUCCCGAGUGCCAUGAAGGGAGAAAAUUACCUUGAAGAGGUCAAAGAUUACAGCCUCGUCACAGGAACCAACGCCAGUGAAACGGCUGCAAUGGGAGCGACGGUAAGCUGUGUUGUUAAACACAAGUUAAUGAGUCCAGUGCUCUGGUGUGUGUUCUUAAGAGAAGAACAGGGAACCAGCAGGGACCAGCUCCGCGAGGUGCAAUUAACCUCUGUGGGUGUUUAAUCAAGCUUGUAUUGUCGGUGCAGGUUAAAGCCAUUGUUUACUUUUCCUUCAUUUGCGUUCCAUGACGCUGGCGUGUGUAUCUAUGACAAAUCGUCCUCUUGUUCGGGAUUUAAUUGCACUAAAUGAAUGCAAAUGCAUGUAUUCCUUUACAUCCAUGCUUUAAGUGAAAUUGCCUCAUCAGAACACUUUUAAAAAGCCACAGCCAACCAUUUGACCCAUGGGCAUUAUUAUAAAACAAUACUGUGCUUGCACGCAGCGGCAACAGUUUGGGUCCCUCUGCACAAAUCGAGGGCCGUAAAGAAAAGUUUUUAAAUGGAGGCUGUUUUCUCUGCAGUUCGUCCCACCUCCAUGUUCUGCCCCAAGCAGGAGAUGGAACUGGAGACCCCCAACACAUUCAUCUGCUACGUGGACGACUUCCAGCCGCACACAGUCGACAUCACAACAUCCACCAACCGGCACCUCUAAAACUCACUAAUUAGAAAUAAAUAUUCCAGCACAUAACCCCCAUAAAACUGUAUUUCUAUGCUUUUUAUUUUGAUUACACAGAAGAUAUAUAAAAAGUUUGUUAGCGAGCUAGCUGUUUAUUAUAUUUCACGGACGGAUAUCACAGUGGUUUCAUUUAUUGGCAUCAAAGCCACAUAGCAAAUGUCCCAAAAUGUCAAACUAUUCCUCUAAGAAAAAGAAGAAUCCAUAGUUUCCAUUUCUAAAUCUGACAUAAAAAAGUGGACACAUUGUCUUUCAUUUGAGUUAUCUUUCUAAUAUGAUAUAAGAAAAGUGUUUCCCACAUUGUACCGCAAGUAUCAUGUUUUGUUGUCAUCUACAUUCAAGUUGAAGGUGUCCGUUCUGGAGUCGUGCACUGAGGGUCAAAGUGCACGCAAACCACAUUGAAACGAAAGGGAACCUUUCCGUGCACAUUAACCCUUCAUUCAUCACAGCGGCCUGUGUCGGCACAUAUGUCUCUGUGCGUAUGUCUCUGUGCAUAUGUCUCUGUGCAUAUGUCUCUGUGCGUAUGUC